GGGUCGGGCUCAGGCAUGACGUCACACACGGAAGUAUUUCCCGUACUACUGAGUAGCUGCAAAUGACAUUUGAAUGAUUUCUGACCAACCCGUCUUAAUCGCGUAAAUGUCUCCAACGGAAGAGUUGGUCAAGCAGUGGGAAAGUGAGCAGGAGCGUCUCAGAGAGCAGGUGGUGGAGGAGGACACGGAAGAUUGGCAGAAGAGUCCAAACUUCUCAGGGCUUCAAAGGGUCGCUGGGUUGGACCUUUCAUUCAUCAAAGGUGACAACGUCAAUGCCUGCUCCCAGCUCGUUGUGCUCAGCUACCCUGAUCUUAAGGUGCUCUAUGAGGACAGUCAAAUGGUGACCCUGACAGCACCGUACAUGGCAGGCUUUCUAGCCUUCAGAGAAACCCCUUUCCUCUUGGAAGCACUGCAGCGACUUGAAAGGGACAAGCCCGCACUUCUGCCUCAGGUGGUAUUUGUGGAUGGCAAUGGUCUCUUUCACUACAGAGAAUUUGGACUAGCAUGUCAUGUUGGAGUGCUGUCAGGGCUGCCGUGUGUUGGUGUUGCCAAGAACCUGCUCCAGGUCCAGGGAGUUUUCAAAAAUGAAGAACACCAGUCUCAGAUAUCAGCACUGCAGAAAGGUGGAGACUGCUUUCCACUCAGCGCUACCUCUGGCAAAGUGCUUGGAAAGGCACUACGUAGCUCAGAUAAGAGCACCAAGCCAGUCUAUGUGUCAGUUGGCCACAAGAUCAGUCUGGACACAGCCGUUCAGCUCACCCACUCCUGUAGCCGAUUCAGAGUCCCGGAACCAAUCAGACAGGCUGACUAUCGCUCCAGAGAGUACCUCCGUGCUCACUUCCCUACUGCAGAGACAGGAAGCACAGAACGAGGAGGCCAUAUGGAGGAGGGCAAUGAACCUGCUUCACUGAAUGGCAGAUUUGGGCCAAUUAAGCUAGAAUUGAAACAUGGACCACGCAAAUACGCUCCCAUGUGCAGACACACACACGCACACACACACAUACACACACACACGCAUUCACAUCGUUCACACUCUGGCGUCUCAUGGCAACACCCUGUAGUUUACACUCUGGCCCUGAGCCACUUAGGCAGGUAGUGGGCCUGUUUUGUACCCACACAAAAACAUACAUGCACAUACUACAUGGACUUUUUAUGCACACACAUUCACCGCAGUCUCACCCUCCCUCACUCUCUCAAAGCGACAUCCACUGCACCAAGCUAUUCCUUAUACGCUCAUAUAACAUUCACAUAGAUCUCCAACUUUUACCCUUCAAAUGAGCUCAUUUUAUUCCCAAUGGACAACUCCUCAUUCCAAGUGAUCCUCCUGCAGUGCAAGGAAUCAUUCAGGAAUAUUCAUAGUGGAUUUUUUUUUUCUCGAUUGCAUUCCAAUUUCAGUGCAACACACCUAGUCCCCUCCCAGCGGGGAAAUGGCUGGGUUAUUCUCACACUGAUGCAUGCAGAAUAGAACAUGAGAGUUUUUUUUUUUUGUUUAUUUUGAUUGGAUUUUUUAUUGUGAAUGCUUGCCCGUUGUACUAUCGACACAAAAGACACAACCGCAAAACACAAAUGUUCAAUCCCGAUUCAGGGUUCCUCAAUAAUUCAUAACGCUAUUGCGGUGCUCGGCACAGCGAGAGAGGGGAAGACAGUGAGGGAAAGGGAAAGCAGGAGGUGGAGGGGGGGGGGGGGGGGGUUUCCUAUGAAAGGGAGUGUUAAGAAGGGAAUUUUAACUGGAGACAGUGAAUGACUGACUACAAACAGCCUGUCAACCUCUCAAAUCUGUGCCCUCUCGUUUCUCCAUCUGACUUACAGUAUUCCUCAUUAGAUCCACUUUUCCCUUUCUCCUUGUCUCCUCGUUUAAGUAAUUCAGAGGUUUCCCUACUCUUUUAUUCUCUCCUCGUGUUUGUAUAAUCACCCCUCUACAGAGCCUUGAUCAGAGGGCAAGUCUUGCCAUUACAACCCGUCAGAACAUAAGCGAGAUAUGAGAGGGAGCAGGGGGUAUCUCAACUAGGUCGUUCCAAGGAAAAUGACCGCUGACCUUGAAUAUGUGAUCGCUCCCGCUUCUCCGUUGGGAGUUUACAUCAUCUCAUUUACAGUCCACCCUGCUCCCCGCUAGACUUUGAAGUGAGGGGGUCUGCACUCAUAAUAUGAAACCCUGUUUUCUUACUAUUCAGACAACCUCAAACCUCUUGGCCAUAUAGUCGAUGCUUUUUUUGCUUUUAAUUCCCGCCACGAUAUGGGCUGUAUCCUGUCACCUGGAGAGAGAGAGAGAGAGAGAGAGAGAGAGAGAGAGAGAGAGAGAGAGAGAGAGAGAGAGUGUGAGAGAGAGAGAGAGAGAGAGAGAGAGAGAGAGAGAGAGAGAGAGAUGGCAGGGGGUAACAAGAAAGUGUAAGAGUCUGCGCCGAAUGUGGGAAGGCGAGCAGGCGCGAUGGGAAAAUAAAGAAGGAGAAUAUGUCUGCCGGCGUUGUGCUCAUAGAAAGAGAAAUAAAAAUGAUUCUGAACCCAAUCUGCAGCAUUCCGAAAGAGCUGCAGCUGUCUGAUGCUCUACUGGAGGUAAUAAGUUUCUUCUGGUCUGCCUGGAGCAUUCAAACCUUCCGUCUCGAUAUAUUUUUCCAGUUUUAGUAAUUGAUUUUUCCUAUGAUUGCUGAAAGUCAGGUCUGAGUCUAUCAACACCCCAAGAUUUUGGACGUGAUCUUUUCAAGACAGUAACUCCAGGUGUUUUCUAACAACAAUCCUAUUUUCUUCAUUGCUAAAAACAAUUACCUCUGUUUUGUUUUGGAAAUGUUGGUUCAUCCAGUUGUUUGCUCUAAACGACGACACAAUGCGUUAAUUGAACUGCUGUUAUUUGGGGACAUUGAUAAAUAUAGCUGUGUCAUCUGCAUGACAAUGAUAGCCAACUUUAGCGUUCUGAGUCAUUUGACCCAAAUGGAACAAAUGCAGACUGAGCAAAAGGGGUGCGAAGACUGACCCUUGAGGGACCCCAUGUGUCAUGGCCAUUCAAAACUACCAAUGGUCACUAAGUAAGUAGGACAUGAACCAUUAACUUAAAAUAGGGCAUGAACCAUUCCAUUUAAUCCCACUAAAGUUUCCAACCCACGCAACAAUAUAUUGUAAUCAAUUACAUCAAAGGUUUUACUGAGAUCAAAUAAAACUUGCACUGAUACCUUGCUUGUGUUAACCUUCAAGCUAACAUCAUUUAGUACUUGAGGACUGUUGUUGUUGGAAACCUGACUGGAAUUUUUCAAAAUGUCUGUUCUGUAUACUUUCUUCAACCAUAAAGAGGAAGAUUGAUUAAUGGGUGGGAAUUAAUUUAUUUCACAAUUAAUAAUGUUAUGUUAAUGUUAUUCACUUUUUACUUGACAGUCUAACAUGAUUGUUUCUCAAUGCCCAGGCAAAGGCAUUGUUUUCCAACCUCAAUGUUGUUAUCCUCCUUGUAAUAAAAUAACUAUAGUGGGACUCAGGA